rnacentral:rRNA from 1 species
ACCUCGGAUCAGGUAGGAAUACCCGCUGAACUUAAGCAUAUCAAUAAGCGGAGGAAAAGAAACCAACAGGGAUUGCCUCAGUAACGGCGAGUGAAGCGGCAACAGCUCAAAUUUGAAAUCUGGCCCUAGGCCCGAGUUGUANUUUGCAGAGGAUGCUU